rnacentral:lncRNA from 1 species
AAGCUUACGAGUGUUCAAUCUUAACUUCUGGGUAUGUGAUAUUUUCUGCAGAUAAGUAGCAAAGUUUGAAGUGUUUUUUUUUUUUUACUUUUGUUGAAGAUUUGCUCUUUUUGUUUUGAGCAUUUGAGUUGUUCCAACUUUUUAUUUGUUAGUGUGUGAAAUUGGAUUUUGGAGAAGAAAAAUAAAUUGGAUUUUGGAGAAAGGUUUGAAUUUGAUUUUAGGGUUGUUUUCAUUUGAAGAUCUAAAUAGGUGGAAUUGAAAAAAGGAGUUGGAAGAUUGAUUUGAGAUGAGUUUUUACUGUGUUGGUUUGGUGUAAAUCAUAUGAAAAUAUGUGUGAAAUUUGAUUGGAAGUUGAAUAAUGAUUUAUUAGUUUGAUUUGAUUUUUUUUUUAUUGAGUAGAAAUGGAAGGGAAUUUAGCUCACGGAGGUAUUAUUCAAGGUGGUGUGGUUCUUUUGGUAGUUCUGAUUUGGCAGUAGGAUGGAUGCGAGUUAAUCAUCAAGCGCAGCAUACAAUGAACCAACAUCAAGCUCAUCCAUGUCAAGCUUAAUCGGUGCAUUCAUCAAUUCAUGAUGGUUUUCCUCUUCCGGAACUCUUUCUUAAAGUAUUCCGGUAACAUCUCUACGACUGUGCAUUCCAGAUCUCUUUUCUGAAGUAUUCCGGUAAAAACUUUUAUGUAGAGGAAAAAAUAUAUAGGGGUGAAGUCAGGGAGGGGUAAAAUUGGAGAAAAAAAUAAUUUGUAGGGGUAAAGGUAUAAUUGUUGGGGUGGAAAAAAAAAUCCGGAUGUUUAAUUCAUGUAUUUGUUUGGUAGAAACAUUUUAAUGUAUGCGGCAGAGAAAUGAUUUUGG